UUAGAAAAAAAAAAUCCAACUUAGAUAUCUCUUGCUGGGAUUCAUAGGAGUUAUCUGCCAGCUAAAAAGCCCUGCAAAGUACUCCUCCCGUCCCUUUCCUCUCGCCACAGUAGCUUCCAGGCGAUUCCCAGGCGAUUUCGCGUUUCCUCCGCCGAUUCGCCGUCAACCUCGCCUCUGGCGCCCUCGUCGGCGUCGGAGGAGGGUGACCGGUUGAAUAGGUGGUGGAUCGACUCCCCUGCAUAUAUUAACUAUAUAGUAGGGUUAGGGUUACCGGUGGGGUUUGCUAGGUCGCCGGUUCUUUUGAUUCCCUGGAUCAGCAUCGGAAGAGGCGGAUGCGGCGGACCCGGCUACGGUGUUGGCGAAGCUGAAGCUCUUUCCUUUUGCGUUGGUCCAUGGAGAAUAAAAGAUGGCGGUGGCAUCAGCAUCAGGUUCUUUCUACCAAUUUGGGAACUAGGUUAGUUUUAGCUCCCACCUCUUCUGGUGGUUUCCUCCCCCUCCGGGGUGUUCUGUUGGCCGGUCUGCCGGGGUGGUUGAUGGUUGUGGCGCCAGGCUUCCUGUGGUCCGGCGAUGUGAGGGCCAUUGGCCUUCUUUUUUGGCAUGUGCGUUCAGCGGGUAAAAAGCAUGUCAGUGAUACUGGUGUUCUGCUCUUGAUGCCGUUUAAAACCUUUGAAUCAUCUUCGUCGAAGGGGUGGUCGGCUUCAACGCGACUGUUCCGGCCGCCGGCAACGAGGAUGACCGGGAAAAACUUACAAAGACUGGAAUGUAAUUUUCUUUUUUCACAAGGAUAUCUUUGUAAGAGUGGGGUUGUAAACCAUCAAAAAUAUUUGUGAAAUGCAAGCCCGGUUUCUCCACAAAAAA